rnacentral:rRNA from 1 species
GUGAGUAACGCGUGGGUAACGUACCCUGAUCCUGGGAAUAACCCUCGGAAACGAGGGCUAAUACCGAAUGUGGCGAACGACCGGUUGGUCGCUCGCUAAAGGUGGCCUCUUCUAUGCUGCCGGGUUGGGAUCGGCCCGCGUCCCAUUAGCUAGUUGGUGAGGUAACGGCUCACCAAGGCCACGAUGGGUAGCCGGCCUGAGAGGGUGUACGGCCACACUGGCACUGAGACAAGGGCCAGUCCCCUAUGGGAGGCGCAGGCGGGAAUAGUUCACAAUGGGCGAAAGCCUGAUGACGCGACGCCGCGUGAGCGAAGAAGACCUUCGGGUUGUAAAGCUCUGUCAGGAGGGAAGAAGGCUCUACGGGUUAAUAGCCCGUGGAAUUGACGGUACCUCCAGAGGAAGCCCCGGCUAAAUACGUGCCAGCAGCCGCGGUAAUACGUAUGGGGCAAGCGUUGUCCGGAUUUACUGGGCGUAAAGGGCGCGUAGGCGGUUUGUUAAGUCGAAGGUGAAAUCCUCGGGCUCAACUCGAGAAUUGCCUUCGAUACUGGCAAACUAGAGUGGCGGAGAGGAAAGCGGAACUCUUGGUGUAACGGUGGAAUGUGUAGAUAUCAAGAGGAACACCGGUGGCGAAGGCGGCUUCCUGGACGCACACUGACGCUCAGGCGCGAAAGCGUGGGUAGCAAACAGGAUUAGAUACCCUGGUAGUCCACGCCAUAAACGAUGGGUACUAGGUGUCGGCGGUAUCGACCCCUCCGGUGCCGCAGUUAACGCACUAAGUACCCCGCCUGGGGAUUAUGGUCGCAAGGCUGAAACUCAAAGGAAUUGACGGGGCCCCGCACAAGCGGUGGAGCAUGUGGUUUAAUUCGACGCAACGCGAAGAACCUUACCUGGGCUUGACAUGCUUGGGACAGCGCUGGAAACAGCGUCUCUCCUUCGGGAGCCCUUGCACAGGUGCUGCAUGGCUGCCGUCAGCUCGUGUCGUGAGAUGUUGGGUUAUGUCCCGCAGCGAGCGCAACCCUCGUUACUAGUUGCCAUCAGUUCGGCUGGGCACUCUAGUGAGACUGCCGGUGAUAAACCGGAGGAAGGUGAGGAUGAUGUCAAGUCAUCAUGGCCCUUACGCCCAGGGCUACACACGUGCUACAAUGGUCGGCACAAAGGGUCGCUAAGCCGCGAGGUGGAGCUAAUCCCAAAAAGCCGGCCUCAGUUC